GACGAAGGAUUCAAGCGUUGUCCGGAUUUACUGGGUUUAAAGGGUGCGUAGGCGGAACUUUAAGUCAGUGGUGAAAGCUCUCGGCUCAACCGAGAAACUGCCAUUGAAACUGAUUUUCUUGAAUACAGUUGAGGUAGAUGGAAUAUAACAUGUAGCGGUGAAAUGCUUAGAUAUGUUAUAGAACACCGAUUGCGAAGGCAGUCUGCUAAGCUGUUAUUGACGCUGAGGCACGAAAGCGUGGGGAGCAAACAGGAUUAGAAACCCCUGUAGUCC
rnacentral:rRNA from 1 species